UACGAAGGGGGCUAGCGUUGCUCGGAAUCACUGGGCGUAAAGCGCGUGUAGGCGGCAGGGCAAGUCGGAUGUGAAAUCCCAUGGCUCAACCAUGGAAGUGCACCCGAAACUGCGGAGCUAGAGUCCUGGAGAGGAAGGUGGAAUGCUUGGUGUAGAGGUGAAAUUCGUAGAUAUCAAGCGGAACACCGGUGGCGAAGGCGGCCUUCUGGACAGUGACUGACGCUGAGACGCGAAAGCGUGGGGAGCAAACAGG
rnacentral:rRNA from 1 species